CGUCUAUAUACGUAUAGCAUAUCAAUAAGCGGAGGAAAAGAAACUAACUAGGAUUCCCUUAGUAACGGCGAGUGAAGCGGGAAGAGCUCAAAUUUGAAAUCUUCAAGGUUCUACCUUGACGAAUUGUAGUUUAAAGAAGUGUUUUCUGUUGGAGUUUUGGUAAAAGUUCUUUGGAAUAGGACAUCAUAGAGGGUGAGAAUCCCGUAUUUGACCAUUAUUUCCAACUUUGUGAUACACUUUCAAAGAGUCGGAUUGUUUAGGAAUGCAGUCCAAAAUGGGUGGUAAAUUUCAUCUAAAGCUAAAUACUGGCGAGAGACCGAUAGCGAACAAGUACCGUGAGGGAAAGAUGAAAAGAACUUUGAAAAGAGAGUUAAACAGUACGUGAAAUUGUCAAAAGGGAAGCGUUUGACACCAGUGUUGUUUUCUCGAAAAUCAAUUAAAAAUGGCAGGAUUUUGUGUUGUAUUGACUUUAUCAGCUUUCUGCACUUUUUUCUUAUCUUUUUUAAUGCACUUUUCGUUUAACAAGUCAACAUCAAUUUCUUUUGCUGUAAAAGGGUCAUUGGAAGGUGGCUUUCUUUUCGGAGAAAGUGUUUAUAGCCUUUGACUUCUGCAGUCGGAGAGAUUGAGGUCUGCAGCGUAGAUCCUUCGGGGUUAGAUGAUACAUUUGUGCUAAGUUAUAGCCUUUCAUAGACAACUUGUUGACUAUGAUCAGUCAUGUAGCUUACUCGCUUAUGUCAUUUUACCUACGCUUAGGAUGUUGACGAUCAGCUGAGCGCG
rnacentral:rRNA from 1 species